rnacentral:rRNA from 1 species
UACGAACUGUGCGAACGUUGUUCGGAAUCACUGGGCUUAAAGGGUGCGUAGGCGGCUUGUUAAGUCGGGGGUGAAAUACUUCGGCUCAACCGGAGAAUUGCCUUCGAUACUGGCGAGCUGGAGGAAGGUAGGGGUCGCGGGAACUGCCAGUGGAGCGGUGAAAUGCGUUGAUAUUGGAAGGAACGCCGGAGGCGAAAGCGGCGCACUGGAUCUCUUCUGACGCUGAGGCACGAAAGCUAGGGGAGCAAACGGG